UAUUUGGGUGAGGCAAGCCAUGCGAGUUGAUGGGAACCUAAAGUUCCCAUGGCAAACUGCUCAGUAACACAUGAUCAACUUACCCUAUAGAGAAAAAUAACCUCGGGAAACUGAGGAUAAUGUUUCAUAGUUGAAUUGGCUUGGAAAAGUUUUUCGACGAAAGGGGUAAAAAAAAUGGUUUUUAUCUGCUAUAGGAUAGGAUCGUGUUCGAUUAUGGUUGUUGGUGAGGUAAUGGCUCACCAAGCCGGUAAUCGAUAGGGGCCGUGAGAGCGGGAGCCCCGAGAUGGGUACUGAGACAACGACCCAGGCCUUACGAGGCGCAGCAGGCGCGAAACCUCCGCAAUACACGAAAGUGUGACGGGGUUACCCAAAGUGUUCAAUUUUGAACUGUGGUAGGUGAGUAAUGUUCCCUACUAGAAAGGAGAGGGCAAGGCUGGUGCCAGCCGCCGCGGUAAAACCAGCUCUUCAAGUGGUCGGGAUAAUUAUUGGGCUUAAAGUGUCCGUAGCCGGUUUAGUAAGUUCCUGGUAAAAUCGGGUAGCUUAACUAUCUAUAUGCUAGGAAUACUACUAUACUAGAGGGCGGGAGAGGUCUGAGGUACUGCAGGGGUAGGGGUGAAAUCUUAUAAUCCUUGUUGGACCACCAGUGGCGAAGGCGUCAGACUGGAACGCGCCUGACGGUGAGGGACGAAAGCCAGGGGAGCGAACCGGAUUAGAUACCCGGGUAGUCCUGGCCGUAAACGAUG
rnacentral:rRNA from 1 species